GACGAACGCUGGCGGCGUGCUUAACACAUGCAAGUCGAACGGAAAGGCCCUGCUUUUGUGGGGUGCUCGAGUGGCGAACGGGUGAGUAACACGUGAGUAACCUGCCCUUGACUUUGGGAUAACUUCAGGAAACUGGGGCUAAUACCGGAUAGGAGCUCCUGCUGCAUGGUGGGGGUUGGAAAGUUUCGGCGGUUGGGGAUGGACUCGCGGCUUAUCAGCUUGUUGGUGGGGUAGUGGCUUACCAAGGCUUUGACGGGUAGCCGGCCUGAGAGGGUGACCGGACACAUUGGGACUACGGUAGGGCCCAGACCCAUACGAGGGGCAAAGGGGGGAAUGUUGCCAGAGGGGGCGAAAGCUGUAGGCGGCACCCCCGGGGGCGGGAGGAGGGCCUUCGGUUGAAAACCCCUUUUCGCCUGAAACAAGGAGGGAGGGAGGGUAGUGAAUAAAAAAGCCCCGGCUAACUACGUG
rnacentral:rRNA from 1 species